rnacentral:rRNA from 1 species
AACACAUGCAAGUCGAACGGGCACUUCGGGUGUCAGUGGCAGACGGGUGAGUAACACGUGGGAACGUACCUUCGGUUCGGAAUAACUCAGGGAAACUUGAGCUAAUACCGGAUACGCCCUUUUGGGGAAAGGUUUACUGCCGAAGGAUCGGCCCGCGUCUGAUUAGCUUGUUGGUGGGGUAACGGCCUACCAAGGCGACGAUCAGUAGCUGGUCUGAGAGGAUGAUCAGCCACACUGGGACUGAGACACGGCCCAGACUCUACGGGAGGCAGCAGUGGGGAAUAUUGGACAAUGGGCGCAAGCCUGAUCCAGCCAUGCCGCGUGAGUGAUGAAGGCCUUAGGGUUGUAAAGCUCUUUUGUCCGGGACGAUAAUGACGGUACCGGAAGAAUAAGCCCCGGCUAACUUCGUGCCAGCAGCCGCGGUAAUACGAAGGGGGCUAGCGUUGCUCGGAAUCACUGGGCGUAAAGGGCGCGUAGGCGGCCGAUUAAGUCGGGGGUGAAAGCCUGUGGCUCAACCACAGAAUUGCCUUCGAUACUGGUUGGCUUGAGACCGGAAGAGGACAGCGGAACUGCGAGUGUAGAGGUGAAAUUCGUAGAUAUUCGCAAGAACACCAGUGGCGAAGGCGGCUGUCUGGUCCGGUUCUGACGCUGAGGCGCGAAAGCGUGGGGAGCAAACAGGAUUAGAUACCCUGGUAGUCCACGCCGUAAACAUGAAUGCCAGCCGUUGGCCUGCUUGCAG